AUGAAGGAAGGGAACAUUGUUGUAUGUAUUACUCCUUGGACUGCUUCUAUUGGAGCCAAAGGCAUUAUGGAGAAAGCAUGGGUUAGGGUUCGCAACAUUCCCAUACAGAAAAGAUGCACUGAACAUAUAGCUUAUGCUGGAGCUCUAGUUGGGAUUACUUUAGAAGUUGAUGAAUCGACCGUUCAUAAACCUGAAUAUGCUAGAAUCCUUCUCGGUUGUAGAGAGGUUGAGAAAAUUCCCCCUUCAGCUGAAGGAAUGCUGGGAGAACAGUAUUAUGAUUUUUUCUAUGAAGUUGAAAAAGUUGUGACUGUGGGUGUUGAGAAAAGUCAGUCCUAUACUGCUGUGGAUAGCAGUGCAUCUCCUUCCUUCCCCAAGAAAGCGAGGAUGGACUCAUAUCCUGCUUCUUCCAUGGGGCAGGGGGAGACGAAUACAUCCGUGACUGGUAAUUUUUCCUCUCAGAACUAUGGUAAGGGUAUGCAGAGGCUUCCGGCAGUGGCUGAGAGUGAAGAAGAAGAUGAGAGUGAGGAAGGUAACAACACAGAGCUUCUGAUUGAGACUAUGGCCAGAGAACAUGCGGCUGAAAAAUGUCUUAUUGUGGAUCUCAAUCUGAUAAAAAAUCAUGUGAGAAUGUCUCUGAGGAUUUGA
rnacentral:rRNA from 1 species